UUCUAUGAAAAUGACGAAAAACACAACCUUCCCCUUCUUAAAAUCCAUUAUAUGUAGACAACUCAAUUAUUGCUACAACAUUAUGAAAGCAUAGUAUGAAAAUAAAAAAAUAAUGAUUGAUACCAAAUGCAUACAAAAACAAGUUUAUACUACCCUUAAGGUCACUGGUUUUGCACUUUUUUUCCCAAAUCUAUAGCCUUGUAGAAAAUCAAAGAGAAUGUCUUACACACUUUUAAUGAUUCAGUCAUACUGAAAACAUUUCAGUUUUGGUGUCUUCCACCCUAAAAAAGUUUAGGCUGCCUACAAGGGCGUAGGUUUGGUCUACCAUUUCAGUCAAAAAGUGUUUCACACAUCUCAAAUAUUGGUUAAUUGUCAUAGUUACCUGAAAAAAUACACUUGUUGAAUGAUUUCAAUGCAACUUUACUAAAAAUGUCUGGUUUGCUGAUUUAAGAGACACAUUCAAAAAUGAUGAAAGAAACCAUGAGGCCAGUAAUCGCGCUGUUCUUCGCACUGAUGGUGAUGAGUGCACUAGUGUGCAAUGUCUACGCUGGAUGUGAGAAUGGGAGGUGUUAUCGGAAAUGCACUAACGAUGAAUAUAUAGGCCAUCGUUUAUACUGUGGUGGUGGAAAUGUAUGCUGUGUUUAAAAAGGAGAUUUAAAAAAGCAUUUGGGCCACUGCGAUCGCUGAAC